UUUUUUUUUUUUUUUUUUUGCCAUACCUGUAGCAUGUAGAAGUUCCUGGGGUACAGCAGGGACCUGAGCCGCUGCAAUGACAAUGCUGGAUCCUUAACCCACUGUGCCAUAGGGAACUCCAACAGCCACUGAGUUGAGCCCAUACGAUGAAGAUGCUAAGAGGUGGAGAGCAGGGUAACUGCAUUGCUGGGGGGUGGAAUGGCUUGUGCAAAGGCCCUGAGGUGGGAGGGGCAUGUCUCAUUCACUUCUGGGACUGAAAGCACCUGAGUGCAGACAGUUGAAGGGGCGAGAAGACUGAGAUGAGGCCCCAGGAGUUAACAGGAUUACACCAGGCAGGGCCUCGUGGGCCACAGUGUUGAAUUUUAAACCAAGAACACCAGAGAGCCAUCGACUGACAGUGAGAUUAAGUGAAAUAUCAUGUCAAGUUCUUAACCCACGGUUAGUGUUCAAUAAUGUUAUUAUUUUAUUUAUAUACGAUUUCUUUCAGUUUUUUGUUUUGUUUUGUUUUGGCUUUACUUUUUUUCUUUUUCUUUUUCUUUUUUAGGGCUGCACCCGUGGCAUAUGGACGUUCCCAGGCAAGGGGUCAAAUCGGAGCUGUAGCCACCGGCCUGCGUACACCAGAGCCACAGCAACGCAGGAUCCAAGCCGCAUCUGCAACCUACACCACAGGUCAUGGUAACUCCAGACCCUUAAGCCACUGAGCAAGGCCAGGGAUCGAACCCUCAACCUCACGGUUCCUAGUCGGAUUCGUUAACCACUGUGCCUCGACAGGAACUCCCUUCCAGAGGUCCCCCUGCUUCACUCUCUGCUUCCCUGGGCCUGUGGCUACCCUGGUGGGUGGCUGACCUGCUCAGGAAGACUACUCCUGAGUCAGUUUCCCAAGACAAAAUCUGAUUGGCCCAUCUUGGGUCACGUGGCACCCAGUCUUGUGAUCCAGCCAAUGGGGAGCUGUCAAGUAUACUAAGAUGCCUUUUUUUUUUUGGUUGUUUUUUGAGGGGGUAUGCCAGAGACAUGGGGAAUUUCUGGGACUAGGGAUCCAAUGGAUACUACAGCGGUGACCUGAGCUACAGCAGUGACAAUGGUGGAUCCUUAGCCCACUGCACCACCGGGGAACUCCCUAAGAUGCCUUCUAAGGGUUCUCAGGGAAAGGGCGGAUGCAGAAUGGACGGCUCCUUAAAGGCUGUCCACUAGGCUCCGCAAGCAGAGGAAAUCUGCCUGGGUGGUUUAGACCCCAGACGGCGUGGUGCCUCCCUCUUCAACAGCUGUGCUGAGGGGCCCAAGCAUUAGAAAGCCAGUCUGGUCCCAACUCCCUCCCACGGAGUGGUUCCCUGCCCAGGUCUGUGCACAUCCCAGGUGAUAGCUGCCAAGUCAUCUGCCCCAGGGCAGCAAAGUCUGCCCCAAUAGGAUAGAAGUCCUCUGAGGAAUCGGAAAGAAGCUGUGCUGGGAAAGUUCAGCCGUGUUCGUAGAAGGGCAGCAAGAUGCCACGCAGGGAGGAGAGUCAGGGUAACUUUUGAGGGGCGUGUUUUCACCAUCACCAGAGCUUCCAUCCCACCAUUGCAAUGCUGACACAACCACCACCACAGCAAGCCACAGUCCAUCAUAAUUUUCCUUUUUUUUUAGGGCCAUGCCCAUGGCAUAUGGAAAUUCCCAGGCUAGGGGUUGAAUUUGAGCUACAGCUGCCAGCCUACACCACAGCCACAGCCAAGACGGAUUCAAGCCAAGUCUGUGACUUCCACUGCAGCUCAGGGCAACACCUGAUCUCUGACCCAAUGAGCGAGGCCAGGGCUUGAACCCACAUCCUCAUGGAUUCUUGUCGGAUUCUAGUACUUUGCCGCAACAGAAACUCCAUGUCAAUCAUAGUUUCAACAGGCUGAACAGUUUCCAUGCAGGAGGAUGCUGGGUAGGAAGGCACCAGUGCCUGCUAUACCAUCAAAGACCCUUGUCUAACCACUAACAUGUGAUGCUAACAUGAGCACUGACCCAGCAUCUCCAACCAGCCAGGCACUUGUUCUAAGCACCUUACAUAUAUUCUCUCCUGCAACUCUCCUAACAGCUCCAAGAGGUGGGUAUUAUUAUCCCCAUUUUACAGACGGGAAAACUAAGGCACAAAGCAGUUCCGUAACUUGCCCUGGUCCACGGGGGCAGGAUUCGAACAUGGGCAGCCUGGCUCUGAUGUCAGGCAAUUAAACACCACCCCUUCAGGCACUGGCUUGGAGGCCUGGGGGAGGUAGAUGCAAAUUGUUAUGACCCACAUGGUGAGCUGUCACUGCUGUUUUCACUGCUGUAUGCUUGGUACUUUAAGAGAAUCUAGAAAGGGGCCAUACCAACGGAUGCUGACACUGAGGUCAGCAGAGUGACAGGGAGUUGCGAAGGCAAAGCUGUGAGGGCAGGGAGAGGUCCAGGCGAGAGGGAAUGGCCUCUGCAGUGCGCCCUAGAUUAGGGAAGUGCUUUGCUGAAGGUCACCCCAGGCAAAGGUGAAAUGGCGUGAUAAGGACCUCUCCCUGGCCUCCAGGUGACCGGCCCUGCACUCUGUGACCCUGCCUCACCUCCUCACUGGCAGUCACAGUCCAAUGCCCGCAACCCUCUGAGGUGGCAGCAGGACAAACCCGUGGAUGUGUUCGAUUGCUGUUUGAUAAGUGGCGCGGAAGGAUACUAAGCACUUCUGUGCCCAGUUUGCCAGAGUCACAAUGAUUCAGGGCAAAAGCCUCCCGCUGGAUUCAGGAAGGCAAUUCAGGUGACCCAGCUACCCAUGUGUAGAGAUGCUAAUCAGAGGCCAGCCUGGGCACCGGUCCCCUUUAGAGCAGGGGUGGGGUGUCCAGUGGUCUAUGCAGAGCAGCCCUGGCCUCUUUCCAGGGCUUACCGUAGACACUGCGGCUUUCCUAAAUGAGUUCAAGAGCAAAUGCUGGGGUUUUUGAGAAGUGCUUCAGCCUCUGCACCUGAUGAUAUUCUUGACAAGGGCAGUCACUGGUAACAGAGGGGACCCCAGGGGCCACAGAGGGUCCGUCACCAUGAGAGGCUGGGCCACUCUUGUUUUGCUUUGUUUUGUUUUUUUAGGGCUGAGCCCACAGCAUAUGGAAGCUCCCAGGCUAGGGGCUGAAUCAGAGCUCCAGGUGUUGGGAGCUGAGCUGCAUCUGCAACCUACACCACAGCUCACAGCAACACUGGACCCUUAAUGCACUAAGCGAGGCUAGGGAUCAAACCUGCGUCCUCAUGGAUACUAGGCAGACUCGUUUCCACUGCGCCACAGUGAGAACUCCAAGGCCGGGCCACUCUUGAGGGUCCCGCAGGCAAGACAAUCAGCUGGGCUCCUACCAACCGGCUGAGCAGAGACGGCAGUAAUGAUAGCAGGGGCCGGGGAACUGACCCUUUUCUGCUCUCCAGGCAAAGCUGGUUUCACUUUCCUGGAGGGGAUGUUUGAAAUGCUCUUGACCUUUGGCCCAGAGAUUCUGCUUCUGGAAAUUACCCCUCUGAGAUCUUCCAUAAGCACACAGGAGCAUUUACAAGAGUGCUCCCUGUAGCGGCUUGAAACCGUUCAAAACUGCAGCCGACCCAAACGUAUCCUGAUGAAACUGGCUUAAUCCAUGUGUACACCCUCCCUGUGGACCACUGCACUCCCUGAAGAGAAUGUUCCAGCAAGGGGUAGCCUCUAAGAAUCACUUUUAGAUAAAACCACAUAAAUGUGACAAAACAUUGCUGGUGUAGAAAACCAACUUAUGAAACUCCCCGAUGGCCUAGUGGAACUGGACGGGAACUUCCAAAAGCCUUGGGCACAGCCAAAAAAAAAAAA
rnacentral:lncRNA from 1 species